rnacentral:snRNA from 1 species
CCUGCCACUACUGGAUCUCUGUACGAGAAGAACUACGUUUACUAAAAAAGAUACUAGUAUUCAUAUGUUCUCCAUGCCUCGAACACGAAGAUAAUCGUGAUGCUAAUACCAGCAAAUGUGGUUUCUGUCUCUGGCAAACAUAUAAACAUAUGCAUGCAAUAAAACGGAUGCUGUGAUAAUUUGAGUACGAAUUUUUAUGUAUCU